AUUGAACGCUGGCGGCAGGCCUAACACAUGCAAGUCGAACGGUAGCACAGAGAGCUUGCUCUCGGGUGACGAGUGGCGGACGGGUGAGUAAUGUCUGGGAAACUGCCCGAUGGAGGGGGAUAACUACUAGAAACGGUAGCUAAUACCGCAUAACGUCGCUAGACCAAAGUGGGGGACCUUCGGGCCUCACACCAUCGGAUGUGCCCAGAUGGGAUUAGCUAGUAGGUGGGGUAAUGGCUCACCUAGGCGACGAUCCCUAGCUGGUCUGAGAGGAUGACCAGCCACACUGGAACUGAGACACGGUCCAGACUCCUACGGGAGGCAGCAGUGGGGAAUAUUGCACAAUGGGCGCAAGCCUGAUGCAGCCAUGCCGCGUGUAUGAAGAAGGCCUUCGGGUUGUAAAGUACUUUCAGCGGGGAGGAAGGCGGUGAAGUUAAUAACUUCACCGAUUGACGUUACCCGCAGAAGAAGCACCGGCUAACUCCGUGCCAGCCGCCGCAGUAA
rnacentral:rRNA from 1 species